UUCUUGAAAUUUAAAGAUUUUGGCGGUAUUUUAGUCUAUUUAGAGGAGCCUGUUCUAUAAUUGAUAAUCCACGAUUAAUUUUACUUAAUUUAUAUAAGUUUGUAUACCGUCGUUAUAAGAAGAUUUUAAAAGAAUAUAAAUUUUUAAUAUUUUAUAUAAAAAAAUAUAUCAGAUCAAGGUGCAGUUUAUAAUUAAGAAGAAAUGGGCUACAAUAAAAAUAUUUAUAUGGAUUAAAGUAAGAAUUUGACUUUAUAAAGGUGGAUUUAAUAGUAAUAAAAUUAAUUUAAAUUUUAUGAUUUUAGCUCUAAAAUAUG
rnacentral:rRNA from 1 species